GGCAGGAUGUACUUGGGCUGGAACUCAAUUCAGCUGCUCACACACAGGCAUCUAUUACCAUCUGAGAUCCCCUCGGAAGUCCAAGAAGCACACAAGGCUGGAAGACAUGGCACACAGAGCCUCUGCGAGCAGUUAGUUGUGUCCUGGCCUCCUCAGCUGGCUGUAGCUGUUUCUGUUCUAAACUCGGCUCCUCAUGCUCUCAGGCCAAUCAUGUCAAUCUGGUGGAGUAAAGGUCUAAAGGAAGUCAGACCAAUGUAACUGUGUGGACACCCGCUUUGUUAAAAGGAUGGGAAAACCUUCUCCUUGGAACCUUAGACGAAAAAUUGAUGGUUGAAAGAUUUCAUAUGAAACAUACAACAAAAACCUCAAGAUCACCUUUUACUCAGUGUGGCACUCAGAACCACUACUACGCCUGAGGGGAACCUCCCCUCAUCCUCUGCCUGAGCCACUGG
ensembl:lncRNA